rnacentral:misc_RNA from 1 species
AAGUCGUAACAAGGUUUCCGUAGGUGAACCUGCGGAAGGAUCAUUACAAAAGUUCAACGCUCUGGGACUAGCUCCCGAGCGGAAUAAACUUUUAACCACUUGUGAAUUUGUAAAAAAUUUUCUUACCAAUUGACUGUUAACGAAGUCUGAUUUAAUUACUGUUGGUGUUUAAAGACACUGAUUUAAUAUUGAAACAACUUUUGGCAACGGAUCUCUUGGCUCUC